rnacentral:rRNA from 1 species
CCUACGGGAGGCAGCAGUAGGGAAUAUUGCUCAAUGGGGGAAACCCUGAAGCAGCAACGCCGCGUGGAGGAUGAAGGAACUCGUUUUGUAAACCUCUUUUAGUAGGGAAGAAAAUGACGGUACCUGAGGAAUAAGCACCGGCUAACUACGUGCCAGCAGCCGCGGUAAUACGGAGGGUGCAAGCGUUAAUCGGAUUGACUGGGGGUAAAGGGCGCGUAGACGGGAUUGCAAGUCUGGAGUGAAAGGCUGGGGCUUAACCCCAGGACUGCCGUUGAAACUGUUGUGCUGGAGUGUGGGAGAGGUAGGUGGAAUUCGUGGUGUAGCGGUGAAAUGCGUAGAGAUCAGGAGGAACACCCAUGGCGAAGGCGGCUUACUGGAGCGUAACUGACGCUGAGGCGCGAAAGCGUGGGGAGCAAACAGGAUUAGAUACCCGUGUAGUC